rnacentral:rRNA from 1 species
GACGAACGCUGGCGGCGUGCUUAACACAUGCAAGUCGAACGGAAAGGCCCUGCUUUUGUGGGGUUCUCGAUUGGCGAACGGGUGAGUAACACGUGAGUAACCUGCCCUUGACUUUGGGAUAACUUCAGGAAACUGGGGCUAAUACCGGAUAGGAGCUCCUGCUGCAUGGUGGGGGUUGGAAAGUUUCGGCGGUUGGGGAUGGACUCGCGGCUUAUCCGCUUGUUGGUGGGGUAGUGGCUUACCAAGGCUUUGACGGGUAGCCGGCCUGAGAGGGGGACCGGGCACAAUGGGACUGAGAUACGGCGCAGACGCCUACGGGAGGCAGCAGUGGGGAAUCUGACACAAUGGGCGGAAGUCUGAUGCAGAAACGCCGCGUGCGGGAUGCCGUCUUUCGGGUUGUAAACAGAUUUCGCCUGUGACGAAGCGUGAGUGACGGUAAUGGGUAAAGAAGCACCGGCUAACUACGUG